rnacentral:rRNA from 1 species
ACCUGCACAGGUGCUGCAUGGCUGUCGUCAGCUCGUGUCGUGAGAUGUUGGGUUAAGUCCCGCAACGAGCGCAACCCUUAUCCCUAGUUGCCAUCAGGUAAAGCUGGGAACUCUGGGGAGACUGCCGGUGAUAAACCGGAGGAAGGCGGGGAUGACGUCAAGUCCUCAUGGCCCUUACAUCCCGGGCUACACACGUGCUACAAUGGCAGGUACAGAGGGCUGCGAAGCCGCGAGGUGGAGCGAAUCCCAGAAAACCUGUCUCAGUCCGGAUUGAAGUCUGCAACUCGACUUCAUGAAGGCGGAAUCGCUAGUAACCGCGAAUCAGCAGGUCGCGGUCGAAUACGUUCCCGGGCCUU